UUAACCAUUGUGCUGUGUGCUGAUAAGGCAUCAGCUGGAGCACUGUGUCCAGUUCUUGGCACCACAGUUAGGAAACAUGUGGACGAAU